GCUAACUACGUGCCAGCAGCCGCGGUAAUACGUAGGGUGCAAGCGUUAAUCGGAAUUACUGGGCGUAAAGCGUGCGCAGGCGGUUAUAUAAGACAGAUGUGAAAUCCCCGGGCUCAACCUGGGAACUGCAUUAGUGACUGUAUAGCUAGAGUGCGGCAGAGGGGGAUGGAAUUCCGCGUGUAGCAGUGAAAUGCGUAGAUAUGCGGAGGAACACCGAUGGCGAAGGCAAUCCCCUGGGCCUGCACUGACGCUCAUGCACGAAAGCGUGGGGAGCAAACAGGAUUAGAUACCCCAGUAGUC
rnacentral:rRNA from 1 species